rnacentral:rRNA from 1 species
UACGUAGGGGGCAAGCGUUGUCCGGAAUUAUUGGGCGUAAAGAGCGUGUAGGCGGUUCGGUAAGUCCGCUGUGAAAGUCCAGGGCUCAACCCUGGAAUGCCGGUGGAUACUGCCGGGCUAGAGUCCGGAAGAGGCGAGUGGAAUUCCUGGUGUAGCGGUGAAAUGCGCAGAUAUCAGGAGGAACACCUGUGGCGAAAGCGGCUCACUGGGCCGAAACUGACGCUGAGGAGCGAAAGCAUGGGUAGCAAACAGG